rnacentral:rRNA from 1 species
AAUGAACGCUAGCGGCGCGCUUAACACAUGCAAGUCGAACGAGUUAUGCUGAGGAGUAAUCUGAAGUGUAGCUAGUGGCGGACGGGUGAGUAACGCGUGAACAAUCUGUCCCUUUGUGGGGGAUAACCUCUGGAAACAGAGGCUAAUACCGCAUAGGACCACGGUGUCGCAUGGCACUGAGGUGAAAGGAGAAAUCCGCAGAGGGGUGAGUUCGCGUCCCAUUAGAUAGUUGGUAGGGUAGAGGCCUACCAAGUCAACGAUGGGUAGCCGAUCUGAGAGGAUGAACGGCCACACUGGAACUGAGAAACGGUCCAGACUCCUACGGGAGGCAGCAGUGGGGAAUAUUGGGCAAUGGGCGAAAGCCUGACCCAGCAACGCCGCGUGAGGGAAGAAGGCUUUCGGGUCGUAAACCUCUGUCGCAGGGGACGAGAAGAAGACGGUACCCUGCAAGGAAGCCCCGGCUAACUACGUGCCAGCAGCCGCAGUAA